UACGUAGGGUCCGAGCGUUGUCCGGAAUUACUGGGCGUAAAGAGCUCGUAGGUGGUUUGUCGCGUUGUUCGUGAAAACUCACAGCUUAACUGUGGGCGUGCGGGCGAUACGGGCAGACUGGAGUACUGCAGGGGAGACUGGAAUUCCUGGUGUAGCGGUGGAAUGCGCAGAUAUCAGGAGGAACACCGGUGGCGAAGGCGGGUCUCUGGGCAGUAACUGACGCUGAGGAGCGAAAGCAUGGGGAGCAAACAGG
rnacentral:rRNA from 1 species